rnacentral:rRNA from 1 species
GCGUGUGUGAAGAAGGUCUUCAGGAUUGUAAAGCACUUUAAGUUGGGAGGAAGGGCAGUAAGUUAAUACCUUGCUGUUUUGACGUUACCGACAGAAUAAGCACCGGCUAACUCUGUGCCAGCAGCCGCGGUAA